AAGAAAUGUGUCAUUUAAAAGAAGAGAACAAAAGAAGGAUUCUGUCAAUACUUACACAACAGGAUGAGAAAGAUUUUGAUGAACGAUGCAUGUAAAAUUUCUCCAUAUUCUGUAAAAUCUCUGGAUAAUUUAUUCCUAAAGGAAAGUGACAUCACCACCCUCAAUUUUUCAUCUUCCUUUGUCCAAGAUCAGCAGGGACUUGGAAUUAAGAAAUUAACAAAGGUAACUGAAAGGAUUCUGGUGGCAGUGAUUUGUGUAUUGUGGCGAGUAGAGGUUUGGUUUAUUUUAAUAGAGCAGCAACCAGCAGUAACCAGAGCAGCUCUGGUUACGAGCAGACGAAGAAUAAUUAUCUUUGCCCCCAGAAUUUAUUCAUCACUACAAUAUUAAUUCAGUGGGCAGCCAGAGUCCUGCAUUUGGGGACCAACUCCAGAUGUAGAUGCUGCUUUGGUCAAGGACAGAGAAAGGAGCAGACCCUAAAUAACCCUAAAGUAUUUCUUCAUAUAAAUAUGUGGAUCCAUAAAUGCUCAACUUUUUUUUUUUUUUUGCAACUCCUGAGCAUUGUCCUUAGUGUCUUGUCUGAGCAGAUUCCUGGUCUCUUCUUCAACAGGAUUCUCCACUUUCUUCAUGGAUGCCGACAGGUUUGGGGUGACCAACUGUCCCAAUUUCCCAGGGAUUGUCCUGUCCUGGGAUGUCUUUUAGAAAGUGAUGGCGAUGUUCUGGUUUUCAUUGUUUUGCAUUGGGCCAUUAAGUUGACCAGCAUUUGAGUAUCAUUUGAGUAUCUCAUUGCCGGGCUGAGUGUCCUGGUUUUUGCUAAUCAAAAUAUGGUCAUUCUAGAGAGCUUGUCUACUUUUUCCAAGAAGAUAUUUAGAGCCUGCUCUGUUUGCUCAUUGUGGCUGUUGCAGCUGCUUCCGGUGGCGUCUUUGGAGUCUAAUGUUGUCACAUACUGUGCAGCAGUAGAUGGUGGUUAAGUCGUAAGGCGUGUGCUUUAACAUCCAAUCACUGCAGGUUUGAGACCCAACAUGGCAUCCAAGUGUGGAGGCCGUUAUCUUUGAGCACUCGAGUAUCUUGGAUGCUGCUGAAGCUGCUGCUGCACAGGAGGCUGCGGACGUAGACUCUGAAGGCAAACCGAGUGCCAGCUUCAGGCCUGGAUCCAUAGCCGCUCGGUACCACGUCUCCUGCUUUGUGAUGCGUGGACCAACUCUCCUGAGAAGCUCGUCGUACAUCUCAGCCAGCAUUUGCAUAAAGUUACGGAUUGACUGUGGAUAUUGGCCCCUCAGUUCAACCAUGAGUUGGUCAUACAGACCAAACUGUCUUUGGCGCUAGAUCCAUGGCCUUGACCACCUUCUCCGUUGCUGCCCCUUUGCCAUUGGUACAUGUUGACAAUUAAUUCAUCAUUGUCAACUUUGGCCUGAAGAACAGCCAUCUCUCACUCGUUGAUAAGGCGGGCUGGCUGAUCAUCACCGUCCAUGGCACUAGUCAUGGGGAACUGUCCGUGUCAGAUGAAGGCUACGCGCGCCUGCAGUCUUUCUACAAACAUGUCUGAAGUCCAGCAGCUGAGGGACAUGUUGAAACUACAGCAAACACCUGCUGAUGAAGGAAUGAUCACAGACCAGGAAGAAGAAAUGUGUCAUUUAAAAGAAGAGAACAAAAGAGGUAAAGGGCUGGAUGCUGGUUUUAAGCCUCUAAAUCUCUCCUACAGAACAGGUUUGUUCACUCAGCUUUGUUUGUGUUAUUGAUACUUUAUAACAUGUUGUAACAGUCAAAUAUUUUACUCCUAUGGUAUUCCUCCAGAGAUUCUGUCAAUACUUACAUAACAGGAUGAGGAGGAUUUUGAUGAAAGAUGCAUGUAAAAUCUCUGGAUAAUUUCUUACUGAAGGAAAGUGACGUCACCGUCCUCAAUGUUUAGUCUCCCUCCCUUUGUCCAAGAUCAGCAGGGACUUUGAAUUUAGAAAUGAACAAAGGUAACUGAAAGGAUUCUGGUGGUAGUGAUUUGUGUAUUUUGACAUGUAGAGGUUUGGUUUAUUUUGAUCCAACACUUGGCACUAAAAGGUGAACAUCAGUAACCUGUUGUACACGAGUAAGAGCAGCUCUGGUUAUGAGCAGACCAAGAAUAAUCUUUACACCCAGAAUUUAAUCAUCACUGCAAUAUUAAUUCAAAUCAACAUGACUUCAAUGAAUAAAAUCCAUUAUUUUCUACAGUGUCCAUGAACAACAUAAACAAGGGAACUUUUCCUUGGUAACUUGGUACCAUUAAUAACCAGCUUUACUACCAGACGUGACAUGUUGACCUGAAUAGUGUAAAUGUGGAAGUGUGCAGAAAUGUGUGUUUGAAAAAGACAGAGGUUGUGAUGGAAGUCUGGUCCCAGAAACAGGCUUUGGUUUUAUGACAUCAGUCCACUUAGCCUGUAACAAAAACUGACUCAAGUCAUUGAAACUCAAGUGGGUUCUUGUUGAUGUUCGUAACUGAAAAUGUCUGCUCACAUAAAUAUGUGGGUCUAAAAAA